rnacentral:rRNA from 2 species
GUAAGGCAAUAAGUGCAAUCGGUGGAUGCCUUGGAGUUAGAUAGGGACGAAGGACGUGGCCAACUGCGAUAUGCCUCGGGGAGCUGUAAGCAAGCUUAGAUCCGGGGAUUUCCGAAUGGGGAAACCCAUCCCGAGUUAUGUCGGGAUAUCAUUCUUCUGAAUAAAAUAGGAAGUCUGAGCCGUACGCAGGGAACUGAAACAUCUUAGUACCUGCAGGAAAAGAAAGCAACCGCGAUUCCCUUAGUAGCGGCGAGCGAAAUGGGAAUAGCCUAAACCCCGAUUUAUCGGGGGGUCGUGGGAUCCAAGCCGCGUUUCGCUGGAGUCAUAGUCAAACUACUCUGGAAAGGUAGGCCAUAGAGGGUGAUAGCCCCGUAGGCGAAAUGAUGAAAGCGCAACAAUUGGACACCCGAGUAGGACGGGACACUAGGAAUCUUGUCUGAAUUUGCGAGGACCAUCUCGUAAGGCUAAAUAUAAUCUAACUACCGAUAGCGAACAAGUACCGUGAGGGAAAGGUGAAAAGUACCCCGUGAGGGGAGUGAAAUAGUACCUGAAACCGAUUGCAUAUGAUCAGUCGAAGUCUUCUUUUUGUGCUUGCACAUUAAGGGGAUGACGGCGUGCCUUUUGUAUAAUGAGCCGGCGAGUUACUUUUGGCAGCAAGGUUAAGGGCUAUAGGUCCGUAGCCAAAGCGAAAGCGAGUCUGAAUAGGGCGUUAAGUUGUCAGGAGUAGACCCGAAACUGAGUGAUCUACCCAUGUCCAGGUUGAAGAUCCGGUAACACGGAUUGGAGGACCGAACCUACUGAAGUUAAAAAUUCAGAGGAUGAGGUGUGGGUAGGGGUGAAAGGCCAAACAAACUCAGAGAUAUCUGGUUCUCUUCGAAAUCUGUUUAGGCAGGGCCUCAUGUUAGAUUAACGGAGGUAAAGCACUGAUUGGGCUAGGGGCCCUAAAAGGCUACCAACCCCACUCAAACUAAGAAUGCCGUUAAUUGAUGCAUGGGAGUCAGUCUGCGGGGGAUAAGCUCCGUAGGCGAAAGGGAAACACCCCAGACCAUCAGCUAAGGUCCCUAAAUAUACACUGAGUGACAAAGGAUGUUAAAUUGCAAAAACAGCCAGGAUGUUGGCUUAGAAGCAGCCAUUCAUUUAAAGAGUGCGUAAUAGCUCACUGGUCGAGUGGUUUUGCACCGAAGAUGAUCGGGACUAAGUGUAUUACCGAAGCUAUGGAUUUUCCGAGUAAUCGGAAAGUGGUAGAAGAGCAUUCUGUAAGGCUGCGAAGGUGUACCGGAAGGUAUGCUGGAGCUAUCAGAAGAGAUUAUGCCGGCAUGAGUAGUGAGAAUCUCGGUGAGAAACCGAGACACCGUAAGUCUAAGGUUUCCUGAGUAAAGUUAAUCUGCUCAGGGUUAGUCGGACCCUAAGGCGAGGCCGAAAGGCGUAGUCGAUGGGAAAGCAGUCAAAAUUCUGCUACCCGAUAUAGACAGUGAUGGGAUGACGCAGUUAUGCGAGGAAGACUGGUGUUGGACGCCCAGUUUUAAGCUGGUAGGUUGGAUGAGCAGGAAAAUCCACUCAUCUAUAACCGAGAAGCGAAUACGAGCCACAUAAGUGGCAGAAGUUCCUCUACAAAGCUGCCAAGAAAUAAUCUCUAAACGUUAACUCUAUAUCGGUCCGUACCGCAAACCGACUCAGGUAGACGAGGAGAGUAUCCUAAGGUGCUCGAGAUAACUCUGGUUAAGGAACUCGGCAAAAUAGCCCCGUAACUUCGGAAGAAGGGGUGCCAUUGAAGGUGAAAGGACUCGCUCUUCGAGCUUUCGAUGGUCGCAGUGAAGAGGCCCAAGCGACUGUUUAUCAAAAACACAGGUCUAUGCAAAGUAGUAAUACCACGUAUAUGGACUGACACCUGCCCGGUGCCGGAAGGUUAAAUGGAUGGCUUAGCUCGUAUCGUUUCGAUAUUGGCGAAGGUCAGAAAUGAAGCCCCGGUAAACGGCGGCAAUAACUAUAAUUGUCCUAAGGUAGCGAAAUUCCUUGUCGGGUAAGUUCCGACCUGCACGAAUGGUGUAACGACUUGGGCGCUGUCUCAACCAGGGACUCGGUGAAAUUGCAGUGGCGGUGAAGAUGCCGCCUACCCGCGAAAGGACGGAAAGACCCCGUGAACCUUUACUGCAUUUUGAUAUUGUAUUUUGGUGUUGUUUGUGUAGGAUAGGUGGGAGGCUUUGAAGCUCCGGCGCUAGCCGGGGUGGAGCCAACGUUGAAAUACCACCCUAAUAAUAUUGGAAUACUAACUCGUGCCUUUAUGAGGUAUGAGGACAGUGUCUGAAGGGCAGUUUGACUGGGGCGGUCGCCUCCUAAAAUGUAACGGAGGCGUACAAAGGUUCCCUCAGCGUGAUUGGUAACCACGCGUAGAGUGUAAAGGCAUAAGGGAGCUUAACUGCAAGACCGACGGGUCAAGCAGAUGCGAAAGCAGGUCUUAGUGAUCCUAUCCCACCGCAUGGAAGGGGGAUAGCUCAACGGAUAAAAGGUACUCCGGGGAUAACAGGCUGAUAGCGCCCGAGCGUCCAUAGCGACGGCGCUGUUUGGCACCUCGAUGUCGGCUCAUCACAUCCUGGGGCUGAAGAAGGUCCCAAGGGUAUGGCUGUUCGCCAUUUAAAGUGGUACGCGAGCUGGGUUCAGAACGUCGUGAGACAGUUCGGUCCCUAUCCUUCGUGGGCGUAAGAUGUUUGAGGAGAUCCGCAUUUAGUACGAGAGGACCAAUGUGGACAGACCUCUGGUGUAACGGUUGUGACGCCAGUUGCAUUGCCGUAUAGCUAUGUCUGGAAUGGAUAACUGCUGAAAGCAUAUAAGCGGGAAGCCAACUCCAAGAUUAGACAUCUUUUAGACUCCUUGUAGACUACAAGGUUGAUAGGUUACAGGUGUAAGUACAGCAAUGUAUUUAGCCGAGUAAUACUAAUUAGUCGAAGCCUUACUUUU